rnacentral:rRNA from 1 species
ACGGGGCCCGCACAAGCGGUGGAGUAUGUGGUUUAAUUCGACGCAACGCGCAGAACCUUACCUAGGCUUGACAUCCCGGGAAUUUGCUGGAAACAGUGAAGUGCUUUCAUUAGAAAGAGCCCGGUGACAGGUGCUGCAUGGCUGUCGUCAGCUCGUGUCGUGAGAUGUUGGGUUAAGUCCCGCAACGAGCGCAACCCUCGCCUUUAGUUGCCAGCAUUCAGUUGGGCACUCUAAAGGGACUGCCGGUGUCAAACCGGAGGAAGGUGGGAUGACGUCAAGUCCUCAUGGCCUUUAUGUCUAGGGCUACACACGUACUACAAUGGCAGGUACAAAGGGCAGCGACACAGCGAUGUGAUGCGAAUCCCGAAAAGCCUGUCUCAGUCCGGAUCGGAGUCUGCAACUCGACUCCGUGAAGUUGGAAUCGCUAGUAAUCGUGGAUCAGCAUGCCACGGUGAAUACGUUCCCGGGCCUU